GAAAUAAAACGGUUUAGAG
rnacentral:snRNA from 1 species